rnacentral:rRNA from 1 species
CCUACGGGAGGCAGCAGUGAGGAAUAUUGGUCAAUGGACGAGAGCCUGAACCAGCCAAGUAGCGUGAAGGAAGACUGUCCUAUGGGUUGUAAACCUCUUUUAUAUGGGAACAAAACACGCCAUGCAUACCCUUCCGUAUGUACCCUAUGAAUAAGCAUCGGCUAACUCCGUGCCAGCAGCCGCGGUAAUACGGAGGAUCCGAGCGUUAUCCGGGUUUAUUGGGUUUAAAGGGUGCGCAGGUGGGAUGUUAAGUCAGCAGUUAAAGUUGGCGGCUCAACCUUUAAAGAGCAGUUGAAACUGGCAGUCUUGAGUGAGGUAGAGGUAGGCGGAAUGCGUGGUGUAGCGGUGAAAUGCUUAGAUAUCACGAAGAACUCCGAUUGCGAAGGCAGCACACCGGAGUGCAACUGACACUGAUGCACGAAAGUGUGGGUAUCGAACAGGAUUAGAUACCCUAGUAGUC